CUUUCAAAUUUAAAUCAGUCAACCUAUUGGACAUGGAUGGAUGCUUUGUUAGCCCCCAAAGAAUACCCAAAGAUUUUUCAUAUGUGAAAGUCAACGCAAUUCCAUGUGGUUAGGCCUUUUCUAUGGCGCUAAAAGCAUAAUUCUGGUGUUUGGCAUACAUCUAUACAUCUAUAACCCUUUUUCAUAUUUGAAUUGGAAUUUCAAUUGGAUUAACUAAAUAAAACAUUGAAU